GCGGGAGUGGCGUAACUGGUAGCCGCGUCGGGUUUAGGUCCCGGUGUCUUCGGACGUAGGGGUUCGAGUCCCCUCUCCCGCA
rnacentral:tRNA from 1 species